rnacentral:rRNA from 1 species
UUGGAGCUUAAGAAAUUUUUUAUAUUAAAAAUAAAAAAGCUAAUUAUAUUAAAAUACUCUUUUAUAAAACAACAAUAAAAAUAUCUUUGGUUGGGGCAACCACGAAGAAAAAAUAACCUUCGAUUUUCACAAAAAAUAAACAAAUUUAAAAGUUUUUAAACUCUUCAGAUCCGGAAAUAACCGAUCAAAGAAAAAAGUUACCGCAGGGAUAACAGCGUUAUUCUCUUUAAGAGCUCGUAUUGACAAGAGAGUUUGCGACCUCGAUGUUGGACCGGGGCACCCAAGAGAUGCAGAAGUCUCUAAAGGUAGGUCUGUUCGACCUUUAAAGCCCUACGCGAUCUGAGUUCAGACCGACGCAAGU